rnacentral:rRNA from 1 species
UUAGAAACUGACAGACUAGAGUACAGGAGAGGGCAAUGGAAUUCCAUGUGUAGCGGUAAAAUGCGUAGAUAUAUGGAGGAACACCAGUGGCGAAGGCGGUUGCCUGGCCUGUAACUGACGCUCAUGCACGAAAGCGUGGGGAGCAAAUAGGAUUAGAUACCCUAGUAGUCCACGCCGUAAACGAUGAGAACUAAGUAGAGUUUGAUCCUGGCUCAGGAUGAACGCUGGCGGCGUGCCUAAUACAUGCAAGUCGAACGCUUGCUUGAGGACUUGUCUUCAAGCAGGAGUGGCGAACGGGUGAGUAAUACAUAAGCAAUCUGCCCAUCGGCCUGGGAUAACAGUUGGAAACGACUGCUAAUACCGGAUAGGUGAUCAAGAGGCAUCUCUUGAUCAUUAAAGUUGGGAUACAACACGGAUGGAUGAGCUUAUGGCGUAUUAGCUAGUAGGUGAGGUAACGGCCCACCUAGGCGAUGAUACGUAGCCGACCUGAGAGGGUGACCGGCCACAUUGGGACUGAGACACGGCCCAAACUCCUACGGGAGGCAGCAGUAGGGAAUUUUCGGCAAUGGGCGAAAGCCUGACCGAGCAACGCCGCGUGAGUGAAGAAGGCCUUCGGGUUGUAAAGCUCUGUUGUGAAGGAAGAACGGCUCAUACAGGGAAUGGUAUGGGAGUGACGGUACUUUACCAGAAAGCCACGGCUAACUACGUGCCAGCAGCCGCGGUAAUACGUAGGUGGCGAGCGUUAUCCGGAAUUAUUGGGCGUAAAGGGUGCGCAGGCGGUUUGUUAAGUUUAAGGUGAAAGCGUGGGGCUUAACCCCAUAUAGCCUUAGAAACUGACAGACUAGAGUACAGGAGAGGGCAAUGGAAUUCCAUGUGUAGCGGUAAAAUGCGUAGAUAUAUGGAGGAACACCAGUGGCGAAGGCGGUUGCCUGGCCUGUAACUGACGCUCAUGCACGAAAGCGUGGGGAGCAAAUAGGAUUAGAUACCCUAGUAGUCCACGCCGUAAACGAUGAGAACUAAGUGUUGGGGAAACUCAGUGCUGCAGUUAACGCAAUAAGUUCUCCGCCUGGGGAGUAUGCACGCAAGUGUGAAACUCAAAGGAAUUGACGGGGGCCCGCACAAGCGGUGGAGUAUGUGGUUUAAUUCGACGCAACGCGAAGAACCUUACCAGGUCUUGACAUCCCCUGCAAAGCCAUGGAGACAUAUUGGAGGUUAUCAGGGAGACAGGUGGUGCAUGGUUGUCGUCAGCUCGUGUCGUGAGAUGUUGGGUUAAGUCCCGCAACGAGCGCAACCCUUGUCUUUAGUUACUAACAUUGAGUUGAGGACUCUAGAGAGACUGCCGGUGACAAACCGGAGGAAGGUGGGGAUGACGUCAAAUCAUCAUGCCCCUUAUGACCUGGGCUACACACGUACUACAAUGGCGGAUACAACGAGAAGCAAGACAGUGAUGUGGAGCAAAACUCAGAAAGUCCGUCUCAGUUCGGAUUGAAGUCUGCAACCCGACUUCAUGAAGCCGGAAUCGCUAGUAAUCGCGGAUCAGCAUGCCGCGGUGAAUACGUUCUCGGGCCUUGUACACACCGCCCGUCAAACCAUGAGAGUUGGCAAUACCCGAAGCCGGUGGCCUAACCUCGCAAGAGGAGGGAGCCGUCGAAGGUAGGGCUGAUGAUUGGGGUUAAGUCGUAACAAGGU